UACGUAGGUGACAAGCGUUGUCCGGAUUUACUGGGCGUAAAGGGCGCGUAGGCGGCCACCGCAAGUCGGUUGUGAAAUCUCUGGGCUUAACCCAGAAAGGUCAACCGAUACUGCGGGGCUAGAGUGCAGAAGGGGCAACUGGAAUUCUCGGUGUAGCGGUGAAAUGCGUAGAUAUCGAGAGGAACACCUGCGGCGAAGGCGGGUUGCUGGGCUGACACUGACGCUGAAGCGCGAAAGCUAGGGGAGCGAACGGG
rnacentral:rRNA from 1 species